CCAUGAUUCACUCUUUACCCUAAUUACACCAACAAUGGGCCUCUGGAGUUUGUCCCUCUCACCUUAAUCACUGCGGAAUUUGAUCUCAGGGCCUUUCAUUCCAUUACUACCCCCCAUCUGGCCGCUGCCUGCAGGAGCCAGGCCGGCCCUGCGUCUCCCGUGGGACUAGAGGCCUGGGGAAAGAGUGAGGUGUUUUCCAUCACACCCUCCAUCUGAGCCAUCUUCGUUCACCACAGUCUCCUCCCUGCCUCCCUCUUUUCCCGCUUGCUGGUCAGUCUAAGUGAGACCCACCCAGACAAUGGUCAGUACCUGGGACUUCCAUCCUCCAUCGGCUUCAGUUUCUCUCUCUAUAAAAUGGGACGGUCACUGCGAGGCUGCUAUUCACAGACCAAAGAGGACUGCAGACUCAAAAUCCAUUAGCAUCUGGAUGGCAACAUAACCAUGCACAGUGGAGACUGAUGCAGUAAGAUGUGAUGGGGCCAGUGUGGGGCUGGAGAGUCUGCACCUCAGUUGAAAUAAUUCAGGUACAAAGUAUUCAAAAACUCUGUGCCAAAGAUGAUACAUCUGCAUAUAGUAUCUGGCAUCUGCUAGUG
rnacentral:lncRNA from 1 species